CCUACGGGAGGCAGCAGUGAGGAAUAUUGGUCAAUGGGCGCGAGCCUGAACCAGCCAAGUCGCGUGAGGGAUGAAGGAUCUAUGGUUCGGAAACCUCUUUGAUAAGGGAAGAAAGUGCGGGACGCGUCCAGCUUCGCAUGUACCGUAUGAAUAAGGAUCGGCUAAUGCCGGGCUAGCAGCCGCGGUAAUACGGAGGAGCAGAGCGUUACCUGGAUGUAUUGGGUUUAAGGGGGGCGUAGGCGGGAUGCUAAGUGAGCGGGAAAAUACGGGGGCUCAACCUGAGUCCGCCGUUGAAACUGGGGUUCUUGAGUGGGCGAGAAGUACGCGGAAUGCGUGGUGUAGCGGUGAAAUGCAUAGAUAUCACGCAGAACCCCGAUUGCGAAGGCAGCGUACCGGCGCCCAACUGACGCUGAAGCACGAAAGCGUGGGGAUCGAACAGGAUUAGAUACCCGAGUAGUC
rnacentral:rRNA from 1 species